GACGAACGCUGGCGGCGUGCUUAACACAUGCAAGUCGAACGGAAAGGCCCUGCUUUUGUGGGGUGCUCGAGUGGCGAACGGGUGAGUAACACGUGAGUAACCUGCCCUUGACUUUGGGAUAACUUCAGGAAACUGGGGCUAAUACCGGAUAGGAGCUCCUGCUGCAUGGUGGGGGUUGGAAAGUUUCGGCGGUUGGGGAUGGACUCGCGGCCUAUCAGCUUGUUGGUGGGGUAGUGGCUUACCAAGGCUUUGACGGGUAGCCGGCCUGAGAGGGUGACCGGCCACAUUGGGACUGAGAUACGGCCCAGACUCCUACGGGAGGCAGCAGUGGGGAAUAUUGCACAAUGGGCGGAAGCCUGAUGCAGUAACGCCGCGUGCGGGAUGACGGCCUUCGGGUUGUAAACCGCUUUCGCCUGUGACGAAGCGUGAGUGACGGUAAUGGGUAAAGAAGCACCGGCUAACUACGUG
rnacentral:rRNA from 1 species